GGGGUUGUGGUUCAGUGGUAGAGCGCUUACCUAGCAUGUGUGAGGUACUGGGUUCGAUUCUCAGCACCA
rnacentral:tRNA from 1 species